rnacentral:rRNA from 1 species
UACGGGGGGGGCAAGCGUUGUUCGGAAUUACUGGGCGUAAAGGGCGCGCAGGCGGCCCUCCAAGUCAGGCGUGAAAGCCCCGGGCUCAACCCGGGAACAGCGCUUGAGACUGGGGGGCUUGAGUUCGGGAGAGGAGAGUGGAAUUCCCAGUGUAGAGGUGAAAUUCGUAGAUAUUGGGAAGAACACCGGUGGCGAAGGCGGCUCUCUGGACCGACACUGACGCUGAGGCGCGAAAGCGUGGGGAGCAAACAGG